GACGGAGGAUGCAAGCGUUAUCCGGAAUUAUUGGGCGUAAAGCGUCCGCAGGUGGACAUACAAGUCUGCUGUCAAAGUGCAGAGCUUAACUCUGUAAAGGCGGUGGAAACUGAAGAGCUAGAGUAUGGUAGGGGUAGAGGGAAUUCCCGGUGUAGCGGUGAAAUGCGUAGAUAUCGGGAGGAAUACCGAUGGCGAAGGCAGGUCUCUGGGCUGACACUGACGCUCAUGCACGAAAGCGUGGGGAGCAAACAGG
rnacentral:rRNA from 1 species